UCGAAGAUUGAGAAAUGAAAACUAGAAUUUUGAUACUUGGAUGUUAGACCUUUAGUUCUUAGUUAUUUAUAUCUCCAUUCUUCUGUAUCUUGUUCUUUUAAAUGACAUGUGUGCAAUUGAGAGUUUGGACAUUAUUAUGUUAAAGUAAAAAUGAUUAUGAACAUGCUAAACCCUGUGUUAGAGUGUGUCAAGUGAGUUAGUGCUUAGAUAUUACUUCCCAUUAUGUAAUUUAAGUGACAAGGGACUGUACUGAAGCUACUUUAAGCACUCCUGGACAUGAG
rnacentral:lncRNA from 1 species